rnacentral:rRNA from 1 species
UACGUAGGGUGCGAGCGUUAACCGGAAUUACUGGGCGUAAAGUGUGCGCAGGCGGCCGCGCAAGUCGAGUGUGAAAUCCCGGGGCUCAACCCCGGGCCUGCAUUCGAUACGGGCAGACUAGAGUUCGGUAGGGGAGUCUGGAAUUCCUGGUGUAGCGGUGAAAUGCGCAGAUAUCAGGAGGAACACCGGUGGCGAAGGCGGGACUCUGGGCCGAUACUGACGCUGAGGAGCGAAAGCGUGGGGAGCAAACAGG